CCUACGGGAGGUAGCAGUGAGGAAUAUUGGUCAAUGGACGAGAGUCUGAACCAGCCAAGUAGCGUGAAGGAUGACUGCCCUAUGGGUUGUAAACUUCUUUUAUAAAGGAAUAAAACGAGGCACGUGUGCCUUUUUGCAUGUACUUUAUGAAUAAGGAUCGGCUAACUCCGGGCCAGCAGCCGCGGUAAUACGGAGGAUCCGAGCGUUAUCCGGAUUUAUUGGGUUUAAAGGGAGCGUAGAUGGGUUGUUAAGUCAGUUGUGAAAGUUUGCGGCUCAACCGUAAAAUUGCAAUUGAUACUGGCAGUCUAGAGUACAGUUGAGGUAGGCGGAAUGCGUGGUGUAGCGGUGAAAUGCUUAGAUAUCACGAAGAACCCCGAUUGCGAAGGCAGCUUACUAAACUGUGACUGACAUUGAUGCUCGAAAGUGUGGGUAUCAAACAGGAUUAGAUACCCCAGUAGUC
rnacentral:rRNA from 1 species